GUCAUACAGCCAGACUAUUAAUAGACGGCACUAGGUCCGUAAACUAUUAAAAAAUAGUCUCGCUUGACGGGUUACAAUUACUAGAAGAGAAGUGCACGCCGACAAUAAAAUAAUAAAGCUAUAUUUUAUAUAUUGAAUCUCCAUUCGGUUUCUCAUGAACUUCCCCACGGUACUUCG
rnacentral:rRNA from 1 species